rnacentral:lncRNA from 1 species
UGAUAUGUGCAAAUUUCGCAAGUAAGCAAGUUGUCAUAAAAUAUUCAUUUAGUCGGGGAAUAUUCUUUUUGUCGGGAAAUAUUCGUACGACGACACAAUUAUUGGUGGACCCCACAACGGAAUGACUGUCGAAUAUAAAAAGCGACAUAAAUAAUCUUUUAUAAAAAUAACAGCAAGACUUUUACCGUUAAACUAUUGAAAUACCCGGUGAUAAAAGUACAGUAAUACGCGUGGUUGCAC